GAGGGCUUGGAGUCUGCGCCAGGACUUCAGGGAACCGGUGCGACAACUGAGUGAAAGACAGGACGCGCUCCGGCGGGUGGGACUACGGGGUUGACGUCACCCAGGGCUGAUCCCAGGCACUACCUUGUUAGGGAAAGUGUCUGGUGAAUGGGGGCUGGCCUGAGGAGGUGCUCAUAGGUCCUGCAAUUUCCAGGCAGCCAACCCGAGCCUGUCUAGACGACUCUUCUCUGCCGACUGGAAAACCUGGAUGAAAGCCUCCUUGGAAUUAAUACAAAGUAGCCUCUCCAUUGGCAAAGACACCAGGAGAACAAAGUGCAGCUAUAGCAGGGAAAGGGAACCAGCCCGGAUGUCUAUCAGAAGAUGAAAGGAUAAUGGAAAUAUGGUUUAUAUACACUGGAAUUUUACUCAGCUGUAAAGAAAAACAAAACUAUGAAAUUUGACAGAAAGUAAAUGGAACAGCAAAGUAUUCAAUUAAAUGGCCCAGUUUCAGAAAGGCCAAAUCAA